CAGAAAUGUGGGAACUUGAGCAUUGUCUCAGCACGUUUUGGAUUCUCAGAGUAUAAUUGCUCAAGCGGCACCUCAUGAAGAGGAACAAAGGAAGAAUUUCAAGUGGCUUGCAAAGAUUGAUAAAAUACAGCAAAAGUGUUAUAUGUUGGAACUAAAAGAGAAGGAAUAUUUAAAAACGAGGGAGGCAGAAGUAAGGCCCAGAAUGCAAGUCUGUGUUUUCUGUUGGCCACAGAAGAGGCUCUAAGAUCCUGAUUCUCUACCCAGGCUGCACAGUAAAAUCUCCCGGGCAGCUCUUAGACACCCUGAAGCCUCAGCCACGGCCCAGACCAGCGGCAGCGCCAUCUCGUCAGGUGGGGCCCAGGCAUCAGGGUUUCUGGUGCAGCCAAGGUUGGACACUACUGUUUUGGGUGCUAUUCUUGGGGCAUCUGCUCUGGGCUAACUCACACAGUUUCUUAAUACGUCUAUCUUUGGUGUUGAUCUUUGAUUUCAUACGGUGGCUUUGCUAAACUGGAAAUGAACAACAGGAAAAUGUGUGUCUUGGAGGUGACUGCGACAUCGGGACUUUAGGGCUCCUUUCUCAACACACCCGCAUGUCACCCCCUGCGGUUAAGUGUGCUGACGAGAAGACACCAUCUGGCAAACAGCCUUCGGCUCCUGGUGCUGCCUUCCAUGCCUGGGACGGAUGGCCAGGGUGUGUUGGCAGGUGGCAGAGUGUGGAAUGCCUAUGGAAUGUCACAUCAAAUCCCCGAGCAGAGGGCCUUUAAUGCUGUAUGCCCAGGGAGGGAGUGAUGAGCUCGGGGCUUGCUGGCCAUGGGCUCUGCCUGGUGGCAGAAGCUGCUGGGAACCAGGCUUUAACCCUUUGUUGCGUAGCCCUAAAUAUGGCCCAGGCCCCUCUGAGCCUUGGGGGACAGAGGGAAAUGGGGCCCGGGGGUGGAGGUUGAAUAACCAGGGAAUUCGCCCUGGGAAUCCACGUGAAUCCAAGGUAGGUGAGUUUACAGGAACAUCAGCCAUGUACACAGUGUUCCAGGCAGGACGCGCCUUGCUCUCUGAUCAUCCACAAGGCCACCUAGUGCCCCUUCAGCUUCUCCUCCAGCUGGGGCCAGACUGCC
rnacentral:lncRNA from 1 species